AAGAGUCCUCAUUCAUAAGGGGGCAAGAGCUCCUUUCUGCAUCCUUUGGCUGGAGUUGGAAGGUGAACAGCACCAACUGUGUGAUGCUCAAUCCCAAGCAGCUGAAAGGAGUCCCUUUUCCUGGGGCACUUGCCCAGCUCAGCUGGUCAAAUCCAGCGUGAUGAAUUCCAUUCUGUGUGACAGACUUGCCAGGAGGUGAGGCACUGGCGGCUACGCAUGGGGAAACUUCUUUCCUGAGCAAGUCUUCCUGGCUGAGGUACUGCAACAGGAGUCCUGGCAUGGAAGCCAUGGUGGCAUGAGGAUUACAGCUCCUAAGAACCAGCUGGCCCCCAGAGCUGGGGUGUAGAGCCACCAUCCCCAGAGCCCACAGGGUGUUUCCAUGGUGUCAGCAUGGUCCAGGACAGCCCUGCCGUUCCCUCCUCUCCCUGCAGGUUUGGGACAAGUGUCUGGGGGGAACAGUAAGUACAGAGGCAACUGGGGCUCAGCCAGAGGCUGUUUAAUUGACCCAAGUGUCCCAGGCAAUCCCAGAACAUACCAGUUGCUUCGUCUCACACUGGAACCAGAGUACAGGAAACCACAGAGGUUUUAGAUCUCUACCACCAUCCUCAUCCUUUCCAUUCACCCCUUGUACCGGGUUUGCUGAUGUUACAACAAAGGGGGUGCUGGCAUUGCCAGCACUGUGCAGUUAUCUACAGCUGUAAAAUUAGGUCAAAUGCUUUGAAUGUGGUUACAGAACAGAGGUCAGGCACAUCUUACAGUGUCUAUUCAGAGAGAAGGAUAUUUUCAUUCCAAUCAUCAAUACAGGGAUACAGAUAGCACAGCAGGAGCAGAACAGAUGUCCAUAAGUCUUUCAACAAUAGGAAAAGGAAUUUAAAACAGACUCAUUGGAAUGUAACUUGAAAAACAGGUGAGUAGAGAAAAAGAGAAAACAAUUGCAAAUAAUUUCAGGUUUGCAGUUCUUUAAAAAUUAUAAUGGUUUAGGUAUGUGAUGAGCAGCUGCUUCCUCUGAAAAGCAGGCACAAUAUUAAAUCAAAGAAAAAGGAGAAUGUAUGUACAUAUGUAUGCAUUUUGAAAGCUUCCUGUUGAAUUAUGAAUACCUUCAAAUCAUAAAAUAUAGAGCCUGUCAGGGUUUCCAUAGAAGUUUGAACAUGCAGUUUCACUUGUUCACAGUGCAGUCUCUGUGUGCUAUCACAUUAAAACCAGAGAGAAGCAAGAAAGACACAGAAUCAUCUUGUAGGUAAAAUAUAAAAAACCAAAAAAACCUACAAACCUGAUUGACAGACUGAGUAAUUAUUAAUGGGAAAUUCAGAGAGAAGAGGCAUGAGGAAUAAAUUUCUCUAGGAAUCGGCUUUUAGCACACAAAAAUAAAUAGAUUAACUGCAAGAGGUGAAGUGCUUCCUUCCCUUGGAAAAGUGGGGAGGUUAAAAAUGCAAAGGUUCACCUGUAGCAGCCAGCAGCUGCACCAGUGCAGCAGAGAUGCUCCAAUGGGACACUGCUCUUGUGCUGACAGAGGCAGGAGCUUGCACAGCCCUCCAUUGGCACCACCAGAUUGAGGACUACUGGGAAUACCCAGUGGGGUGGAGGGCAUGACCCUGAGAACAGUACAUCAGGGGCUGACAAAGCGCCCAGAAGCUGUGGGUUUGGCUGUAGCCCUUCCAGUGCUUCCUGCACACCAUGUGCCCAGGAUACCUGGAGAAAGGAUAUGCCAGGAUCGGCUGUCGCAGCCGUGGAACUGGGGAGAUCUAUGGAAUGAAACACAGGGGCCUUGCAAGCGGCUGUGGA